rfam:Arabis alpina cultivar Pajares chromosome 7, whole genome shotgun sequence.
GUCUCUUCGGGGACAUCCGAUAAAAUUGGAACGAUGAGAAUAUUAGUGUGGCCCCUUUGCAAGGAUGACACGCAAAAAUUGGUUUAAAUUUUU